CCUACGGGGGGCAGCAGUGAGGAAUAUUGGUCAAUGGGCGGGAGCCUGAACCAGCCAAGCCGCGUGAGGGAAGAAGGUACAGCGUAUCGUAAACCUCUUUUGUCAGGGAACAAAGGCGGGGACUAGUCCCCGGAUGAGGGUACCUGAAGAAAAAGCAUCGGCUAACUCCGUGCCAGCAGCCGCGGUAAUACGGAGGAUGCGAGCGUUAUCCGGAUUUAUUGGGUUUAAAGGGUGCGCAGGCGGUCUGUUAAGUCAGCGGUCAAAGCCCGGGGCUCAACCCCGGCCCGCCGUUGAAACUGGCAGUCUCGAGUUGGAGAGAAGUAUGCGGAAUGCGCGGUGUAGCGGUGAAAUGCAUAGAUAUCGCGCAGAACUCCGAUUGCGAAGGCAGCAUGCCGGCUCCACACUGACGCUGAGGCACGAAAGCGUGGGUAUCGAACAGGAUUAGAUACCCUAGUAGUC
rnacentral:rRNA from 1 species